GGAGACGUGGGUGAGUGGCUUAAACCACACCCUUGCUAAGGGUGCGAAGAGUAAAAUCUUCCAUGAGUUCAAAUCUCAUCGUCUCCGCCA
rnacentral:tRNA from 1 species